rnacentral:rRNA from 1 species
CCUACGGGUGGCAGCAGUAGGGAAUCUUCCACAAUGGACGAAAGUCUGAUGGAGCAACGCCGCGUGAGUGAAGAAGGGCUUCGGCUCGUAAAGCUCUGUUGGUAGUGAAGAAAGAUAGUGGUAGUAACUGGCCUUUAUUUGACGGUAAUUACUUAGUAAGUCACGGCUAACUACUUGCUAGCAGCCGCGGAAAUACGUAGGUGGCAAGCGUUGUCCGGAUUUAUUGGGCGUAAAGCGAGUGCAGGGGGUUGAAUAAGUCUGAUGUGAAAGCCUUCGGCUCAACCGGAGAAUUGCAGCAGAAAGUGUUGAACUUGAGUGCAGAAGAGGAGAGUGGAACUCCAGGUGUAGCGGUGGAAUGCGUAGAUAUAUGGAAGAACACCGGUGGCGAAGGCGGCUCUCUGGUCUGCAACUGACGCUGAGGCUCGAAAGCAUGGGUAGCGAACAGGAUUAGAUACCCUUGUAGUC